rnacentral:tRNA from 1 species
GGGGAUAUAGCUCAGUGGUGGAGUGCAUGUCUAGCAUGCAUGAGGUCCUGGGAUCAAUCCUCAGUACCUCCA